rnacentral:rRNA from 1 species
UAGUAUCAGCGUGUCAGCCGCCGCGGUAAUACGUAGGGUGCGAGCGUUAAUCGGAAUUACUGGGCGUAAAGCGUGCGCAGGCGGUUAUGUAAGACAGAUGUGAAAUCCCCGGGCUCAACCUGGGACCUGCAUUUGUGACUGCAUAGCUAGAGUACGGUAGAGGGGGAUGGAAUUCCGCGUGUAGCAGUGAAAUGCGUAGAUAUGCGGAGGAACACCGAUGGCGAAGGCAAUCCCCUGGACCUGUACUGACGCUCAUGCACGAAAGCGUGGGGAGCAAACAGGAUUAGAUACCCUGGUAGUCCACGCCCUAAACGAUGUCAACUGGUUGUUGGGUCUUCACUGACUCAGUAACGAAGCUAACGCGUGAAGUUGACCGCCUGGGGA